rnacentral:rRNA from 1 species
UACGUAGGGUGCGAGCGUUGUCCGGAAUCAUUGGGCGUAAAGAGCGUGUAGGCGGCCCGAUAAGUCCGGUGUGAAAGUCACAGGCUCAACCUGUGAAUGCCGCUGGAAACUGUCUGGCUAGAGUCCGGAAGAGGAGAGUGGAAUUCCUGGUGUAGCGGUGAAAUGCGCAGAUAUCAGGAAGAACACCUAUGGCGAAGGCAGCUCUCUGGGACGGUACUGACGCUGAGACGCGAAAGCGUGGGGAGCGAACAGG